AGAGAAAAGCUUGGAAACAACCCAGGUGCAAUGGAGAUGGUUGCUUUUGACUGAAGCCAUUCUGCAAGUAGCUGAAGAAGGAAGUCCUCUCCUAGCAAGGGACACUAGGUUUUCUUCCUCUAUUGGAGUUGGCCAGCCAACACUACCAAGUCAGCAGGAAGAGGGGAAGAAAGGACACCAGCACUUUCUGAAAUAGAGCAGAAAAUUGGGGUCGUUCUCUUCUUACUGUCCUGUCCUGUUCAACAGUGCACACUCAAACAAGCAGAAGUGUUCAUAUUUCUGGAACCUACUCAGCAUUUCAGAUUUUUGGAUGAUGAAAGAGGAGAAAAAGCUUCAGUUGGCACUUACAUUUUUGACAUCGAAGCUACUCACAUG